CUGCCGCCAUGUUGGGUCUCGGCGUCGGCGCCGCGGGUCCACAGGAGGAGCCCUGAAGUGCCGCUUUCCUGAGGUGCGCUGUGUGAGGCUUCUGCCCGCCGCGUCCUGUGAGCAGGUGAAGCUAGCCUGGGCACAAAGGGGGAACAAAAGGUGCGCAGUACUCCUCUACUUCUGGUCACAGAAAUCAUCUGCUAAGGUCUCCUGGUUCUCAGGCCCUUCAGGCUCAGAGUGGAAUCUACACCAUUGGCUCUGGCUUUCAAGCCUUCCAACUGUAUCACCAGACUUCCUGGAUCUCCAGUUUGCAAAUGGCAGAUCAGCCUCCAUGACCAUGCAGAAUCAGUGAACAAAGAAGGUUGUAACAAAGAUCUGGAGAAGAAGAAAGACUUGAUCACAGUGGUUUAAAUCAGUCUGCACCCUUGUUGAAGAUCACCCGACUGUC